GAUGAAGAACGUAGCGAAAUGCGAUAAGUAAUGUGAAUUGCAGAAUUCAGUGAAUCAUCGAAUCUUUGAACGCACCUUGCACCCUUUGGCAUUCCGAAGGGUAUGCUCGUUUGAGUGUCAUUGUACUCUCACACUCUCCGAUCCUAUGGAUUCGGGGAGCGGUGGACUUGGGUGUUGCUGCCUUUCCUUGUGGCUCACCUCAAAUGUGUCAGUGCACCUCUUGGUUGGACAUAGUACGGCGUGAUAAGUGUCUUCGCCGGCACCUCGCAAGAGGGUGGCCGAGCGGGAGCUCUGUGCUUUCAAACCGUCUUCGGACAAUUUCUGACAACUUGACCUCAAAUCGAGUAGGACUACCCGCUGAACUUAAGCAUAUCAAUAAGCGGAGGA
rnacentral:misc_RNA from 1 species